CAUAGUCCCUUGUAAGGCUCUCUUAUAUCAAAAGCAUACUUUGUUCUUGCAAUCUUGUAUCCCCAUAUGAGUCAUUUGAAUCAUUGCUCAACCAUUGACUUAAUGGCUGAUCUUGGUGGGAGACUAAGAGUCGCAUGGAAAAUUGGAAAUUACUCCAUGACAUCAACCUUGGAUAAUUUCUUACAAGCCAAGCUCGAGCCCGAACCGUCUUGAGUCAAAACGAGUUGAGCCUAAGCAAAAACAAGCUCAGACUCGCCUCGUUUACACCCUAGGUUAAGUAAGGUCAUAACUUGGAUACAUAAUAGACUUAAAAUAAUAGCUCGAUUAACAUAAUCUAUGAUAGCUCAACGCACGCCUUUAGAUCAAAUGUAAAUUAUAAUUAACGUAGUGGCCAACUUAUUUAACCAAGGUCCAAACUCAGACAAACUCACACACACCGGUUACUUUUAGCCUUAAAGGAGCCACAAACAUGUCAGUGUAUAAUAAAAUCUAAUCAUGGCACAAAACUCAAACAAAGAACUCGGCUAUGAAAACCCUAAAUGGUGAAGGAACCACCUUCCUUCACUAUGCGGUAUGUUGUAGCGAUGGUAGACAUUGGGAUAAAGAUGGGAUACCUUGGCAUAAACUGAUUAUUUUCUAAAAGCAAUAUGCAGUUUUAAUAAGCAAUCCCUAAUGUAUCUGGAUAUUUUAAUUAUGUUGUAGCCUAUCCGAUAUACAACACUUUUCUUCUUAAUUCUGGGGGAUUUGAAUCGGGCUUUCAAUCUCGAAUCGGUUAAGUUUCAUACCGAAAACCUAUUAGAUGAGUAAUUCUUGUUUAGGAUGUGGCUUCAUUUCAACCGCCAGAAGAUUGCUAUUGUUGGAACUGUAUACAUUGCUGCAAGAUUCCUAAAUAAGGAUUGUCAUGAUUGCCAAAAGUUGUACUCACUGCCAAACGUGUUGCGAGAUCUACCUCCUCUCCCCUGCACGAGGCUAAUAACAAGUCAGCUGUUUUCACACACCACCAUGGGUUUUCAAGGUCAGGGGUAUUCUCCAAAUCACCAGCGAGUUAGAGAAUUUUGUACAAGGGUGGCAUACCCGUACACAAAGGAGCAAAACAUUUUAAUAGUAGGGGACAUGGAUUUUUCAUUUUCGCUCAGUGUCGCUCAGUGUUGCUAAAAGGCUGAAGCAAGCUCCUAAACUUAGAGCAACAUGCUUGCCCGCUUAUGACAAUUUGAUUAAGAUGCAUCAAUACGCUGAAGCAAACCUCAAAGGACUAGUUCAUCACAAAGCUAGCUAUUUUUGUGAGGUAGAUGCCACUCAAAUGGCUUCCGACGAUCGGCUCUGCGAUCGUAAAUAUGACCGCAUCGUUUUUAACCAGCCCCAUGCGGGCUGUAAGUGGCAUGAAGCUGAUCCGCGUCAGAUUCAAUAAGUCUGUCAUUGGUAUUGCCAUAUAGAUUUGAUGUUUAUUUAUUUAUUUAUCUUAUUUUUUUUUGGUAGGAAACAUCAAGAUCUCCUUGAUGGCUUUUUCAGAGAAGCAUCCCAGAUGCUUUAUGAACAUGGGGAGAUCCAUGUUUCCGUAAAACGAAUCAUCCUUAUAGCUUGUGGGACCUGGAAGGCAUAGCGGGGAAACACAAGUUGAGUCUAAUCAAAAAAAUCAAGUUCAAUCCCACCGACUUUGACGGCUACCAACACCGGAAAGUUGUGGUAGAAAAGCGGAUGUGAAUUUUGAUGCGUCACAUUCGUUUACUUUCAAGUUUGUGAUAUGUUAUCCCUAGUAAUUUCUUUAUCUGAGUGGUACACAUCAGUUUGGUCACUAAAGCAUAGGAUUUGGUUAUUGUCACUUUCUGUAAGGAUAAGAAAAAUCUCAGAUAUAAUAAUAGAUUUCAAUGAUGAUGUUAGUUUUGACCGAAGUCUGACUUGUAUUGCAAAUUUCUUGAAUUGAUUAGAUUGGGCGGAGUGUAAUCUGUAACCCUAGUCCAGGGUCCUUGUACCCGAUCGGGUAUCAAAAUCAGGUAGGGAGAAAGAGGGGGGAGAGAGCGCUACAGAGGUGUGCAGGUUUGUUCGGUUUUCUUAACAAACGGACACGAACU